UCUCUCGUAAUGGGCCUCAUCAGACGGCCACGGCCCAUUUCUCGCUUCACAUGGCCGCAUUAGGCUGGGCUUAAGGGAGGCGAAACAUUUCGCGGGGACGAGGAUAACGUCUGCCCAAGCGGAGCGAAAGGGAUGACGGGCGCCGCCGCCGCCGUCUCCCCGCUCGUCGCGUGGCCCCGCUCCGCGCCCGCCUCGCGGGGCGGCAGGCGUGCGGCGCGCGCGUCGGCGUUCCACCCGGACGUGUCCCGCGCGGUGGAGUCGCUGCAGGCGGAGUUCCGGGAGGUGGACCGCGCGCUCGCCCUCAACUCCGCCCGCGUCUCCGCCGCCUUCCACGCCGCCCACGUCGCGCCGCACCAUUUCGGUGGCUCGACGGGGUACGGCCACGACGACGGGGGCGGCAGGGAGGUGCUCGACUCCGUCUUCGCCCAGAUCGUCGGCGCCGAGGCCGCCAUUGUCCGCCCCCAGUUCUUCUCCGGGACGCACGCCAUUGCCUGUGCUCUGUUUGCUCUUCUGAGGCCUGGACACGAGCUCCUGGCUGUCGCUGGUCCUCCCUAUGACACCUUGGAGGAGGUGAUUGGGAUCAGGGGGUCGGCCAAUGUGGGAUCGCUCAAGGAUUUUGGAGUGGCAUACCGAGAAGUUCCGCUUGCAGCAGAUGGUGGCCUUGAUUGGGAUGCUCUUGCAAAUGCUGUCAGACCUGAGACCGGAUGCGCCUUCAUACAAAGAUCUUGUGGUUAUUCGUGGCGCAAGAGCCUAAGCAUAUCGGAUAUCCAGCGAGCUAUAGAUUUGAUAAAGAUGCAAAAUCCAAACUGCAUGGUUAUGGUUGACAAUUGCUAUGGUGAAUUUGUUGAGACGUCAGAGCCUCCAAUGGUGGGAGCAGAUUUGAUUGCGGGUAGUUUGAUAAAGAAUCCAGGUGGGACAAUUGCACCUUGUGGUGGCUAUGUCGCAGGGAAGAAAGAUUUGGUUGCGGCAGCAGCAGCUCGCCUGUCUGCACCUGGACUUGGGGUAGAGUUUGGGUCUACACCUGGACAUGUGAUGCGGGCACUGUUUCAAGGCUUGUUUCUUGCUCCGCAAAUGGUUGGAGAAGCUGUCAAGGGAGGCAUGCUUAUUGCAGAAGUCAUGUCAACCAAGGGCUAUAGAGUUCAGCCACUUCCAAGGGUUCCUCGCCAUGAUAUUGUGCAGGCAGUAGAGCUUGGCAACAGGGAGAGACUCAUAGCAUUCUGCGAAAUAGUCCAACAAACUUGCCCAGUAGGAUCAUUUAUUAAACCAACUGCUGGGGAAACUCCUGGUUAUGCUUCAGAGGUCAUUUUUGCUGAUGGGACAUUCAUAGAUGGAAGCACAAGUGAGCUAUCAUGUGAUGGGCCCUUAAGAGAUCCAUACGCUGUAUUCUGUCAGGGAGGAACACAUUGGACACAAUGGGCUCUUGUCCUCAGCGACGUUCUGAAGAUUAUAUAGCUGUCUGUUGCCAAAAGUGCAUAAUACUUUCAUCUUCUGGAAUGGGUUGCCUUUUUUUUGGUAUAAUUGAUUGCUAGGUAUAUGAUAUUGAUUGAAAUGAAAAUUGUCAGGAAACAAACAUGGCGCACGUCUUUGGUUGAACUGAUGAAUAGUAUUAAAAUUUUAAAGAAAUCGAGAUAUUCACAGUUGUGAAGAGGUCAGCAGGCUGCAUUGAUUAGAGUAACUUCGAACUAAAGAAUCCCAAGGACAGAUAGCCAAAGCAUCACAAUUCACAAGGACAGCUAGCUUCAGCCAUUGACUUGCCAGUUCAUUUGGGCUAGAACUGAGUUGUAUGGUUUACUAGUUAGAAACUUCUUACUUGGAAGCGAUGCACUAGUUCUACGAGCUUGUAGCUUCAGAAGAGAUAGGGCCAAGAUGGCUCUCACAGUGCAUCAUUCUGGAGGAUAUUUGUGUAUAAUGAAUUCAUAUUGCUUAGAGUGCCAGCCUGCCAGGACUCGUUUGCGAUUGAGAUCAAAUUUUAGAGUAUGCUUUUCCACGUUUCUCUACGAAAUAUUUUUUGCUGAGGAUUA